rnacentral:rRNA from 1 species
GACCUCAUGCUCGUGGGAGCGGCCGAUAUCUGAUUAGCUAGUUGGUAGGGGUAAAAAGCCUACCAAGGCAUCGAUCAGUAGCUGGUCUGAGAGGACGACCAGCCACACUGGAACUGAGACACGGUCCAGACUCCUACGGGAGGCAGCAGUGGGGAAUUUUGGGACAAUGGGCGAAAGCCUGAUCCAGCAAUGCCGCGUGAGUGAAGAAGGCCUUCGGGUUGUAAAGCUCUUUUGUCAGGGAAGAAACGGUGAGAGCUAAUAUCUCUUGCUAAUGACGGUACCUGAAGAAUAAGCACCGGGCUAACUACGUGCCCAGCAGCCGCGGGUAAAUA